CUGGAAGUCAAGCUGCCUCUGGGAUCCUGAAAUCCUGUGGGACCAUCAAAACAUCAUCCACUUGAAGGGUAUGACUUGUCUGAUGGCUCUCAUACAAUGACACAAUAGUGCACCAUGAGAUAUUUUUAAGAAGUCCAUUCUGGUUGCUACCGUGUUCUUUUCAAUUGGAUCAUUUUGAACAGGAAACCAACUUUAAAAACAAUGCUGUGCAUAGGUAGGUAAGGGCUUAGUAUUUUUUUAUUAGAUUUUGUUUUUGUUGUUGCUAAUAUGGGGAGAGAACAGUGCAGCAGUUGAGAGCUCAAGCUUGUGAGAAUAGUACUUCAUGUCAGCUUCUAGCUCUGCUACUUAAGAAUGAUCUUGUAUUUAAAGCUGACUGUCCCUUAA